rnacentral:lncRNA from 1 species
GGCUGAGCCUCGGGCAGAUCCCCAAGGCUCAGUCUCGCCUCUUUCCCCACCCCGCAGACCGGGCUGGGCCUCCUCUCUGCCCUCUUUUGUGGAGCCGAGGAACCCAGGGCCAGUUCCCUGCCUGCCAGCUGGUUUCCCGGACCCUGGACCAGCUGUGAGCGAGGGGGCGGGAGCAGCCGCUGGCCUCUGGGAAGUGGAAACCAGGAGUCAGGCAGCCGAGGCGGGCGGGUUUAGACUGGGGCAGUGAGGCCAGCAGGCCUGGGCAGCAUUCUGGAGGAAUUUCUGAAUUACCUCCUGGCUGGAGACUGGAGGCCAGAGCGGGGGCCCUGGGCUGGUCUUGCUGGCUGCAGCCUUCCCGCCUCGGGCUGGUGUCUCUGCCCGCCUGCCUAGGCAUCGCAGCAUCCUCUGAUGGACGGAGCUGAGACCACGGUCCUGAGUCAGAGGACUUGUGGGAUUGGAGCGCCCUCUGCUGGCAAGAUCGAGGUACAGCCGGGAGAGUGGUACACCCUCAGGAGCAGCUGCAUUGAAACCCUGCUGUUAGGAUGCUGGCAGGCGGGUCUAGGGGUUAGUACACAGGCAAGCCUUUCCUGCUGGGCGUGGACACAUUCAAGGACACAUACCAUGCCCUGUAAUUCAGAUGCGAGCGUGUCUUUGCGUACACAUCUUCCAUUUCUGCUGCGCCUGGGAUGACAUCACCUGGGGUCUGCCGCAAUGCAGUUAAUGGAGUUAGCGUCAACUCCACAGGUUAAGCACUGGGUCCCCCACACACUACCCCACUGUGCUUCCAGCCACAAGCGGGAUUCCCCAGGACCAGCACGUCUGACCAGCCAGAAACAAAGUAGUGAGUUCCCAUGACCCUUCAGGUUUGGUAAUUCACUACCCUAAACCCUCAGAACUCACUGUUUAAGUGCUGUUCUGUUGAUGGCAGUUUCAUUUAUUUUAUAAAGGUUACAACUCAGGAGCAGCCAGAUGAAGAGGCCUGCAGGGCAAGACCUGGGGGAGAGGGUGUGGAGUUGGGGC